rnacentral:rRNA from 1 species
ACAGCAGUCGCCGCGGUAAUACGAAGGGUGCAAGCGUUAAUCGGAAUUACUGGGCGUAAAGCGUGCGUAGGCGGUGAGUUAAGUCUGCUGUGAAAUCCCCGGGCUCAACCUGGGAAUGGCAAUGGAUACUGGCAAGCUAGAGUGUGUCAGAGGAUGGUGGAAUUCCCGGUGUAGCGGUGAAAUGCGUAGAGAUCGGGAGGAACAUCAGUGGCGAAGGCGGCCAUCUGGGACAACACUGACGCUGAGGCACGAAAGCGUGGGGAGCAAACAGGAUUAGAUACCCCAGUAGUCCCUGUCUCUUAUAA